rnacentral:lncRNA from 1 species
CUGAGGCCACAACUGUCAGCUAUUCCUUUGACUACUGUAUUUCCAUGGUGACUUGUGGACCCGUAUUUCAUUCGUGACCUUUUUCAAUCACCUCGUAAGUGCCCAAGGAAUGAUUGAUGCGUCUGUUCCGAGCUGUCGAUUUGUGGACGUUUGUGUAGCUUUAUCAUGAAUAGCAUCAUAUCUUGUGAAUACAGUCAGGCGAAAUAAGUGAAGUGUAAACUACAGUUGCUUCAUUAUGGUUUUGUGUGAAAGAAGCUUAAAUCUGGUCUUGUACAAUGGCCCAUCCUGGAAAUACAUUUUCUAGGUCUGGUGUUCCUCAAUUUGAACUGCUGGUCUUCCAGUUCCAGGUCUUUUAUCUUUAAUCAUGCCCAUUUGCCAGGAAGAUUAUGUCAUGGUUGAACCCCUUUGGAAGCUGAUAGGAAAAAUAAAUUACUCGUAAUCGCUGAUAUCAUAAUAGCUGGAAUCAUUUUUUAUGAGUUGUUUCCAUGUAUUUUCUUGAGCACAGUUGUUUGUAGCUCGCCUUCCAUGGCUAGAGGCCGGAUUAGGGGAGUUUAGCUGUGUUAUUUCCUUGUUUGGGCCGAGCAUCCCAUGUUUUUCUGCUUCGAGCACCAUGCUCACACCCUCUUGCUUUCGUGUCAUGGGUUGUAUCCUCUCUUGUUUUAAUUUUCUUCUGGUAUUUUGGUACAUAGUAGCAUUCCCUACAUUCCACAAUGUAGUGCAUAUAGAUUUUUUGAAAAGUCAAACUUUACAAAAUUUGACAUAUUUUCAUUUUUAAUCAUGGUAGUACAACGAACACUAGAAAUAAUAAUUACAUUUAGAUCAGUGUCAGGUGGUAGGUGCGACAUAUGCCAACGGAUGGCUUAUCAUUGUGGAAGCCAGUAAGACAUCGCCGGUGCCUGGAAACGGGAUAAGGCGAAGACAUGCACGCCGGCGGAUCUUACCCAGGUUGGGGGCUCUCCGUGGAGAUAAUACCCCUACUCCUGUUCUGCGGGGUCUCCGCAUGAUCACUAGAUCAAUAAGAAGCUACAAGUGGCUCCUUGAACUGUUCGGUGGAAGGAGGAAGAAGGGCAAGGCUAGCUCUCUCUCCUCUCCCUGUAGUGGUGUCUAAAACUCUCUACGAUCAACCCUUUGCAUGGGUGUCCUGGGGGUUUAUAUAGGCCUACCCCCGGGGUACAAUGGUAAUCCGGCUGGGCGUGGGCCCUAGUCGUCAGUGUCUAUGACCGUCGGCUUCUCCGCCGACUGUUGGGGCCCGUCGACUGGUGGGUCCCGCCGGCUGCCGGCUCAUUGGUUGACAGGCCGGCCCCACCGCUUGGGGGUCUUGUCGGGGGCUGGUUACUAUUGCCUUGCCUCUGAUGACGAGGGCUUUGUCGAGUUAAGCAUGGCUACAGUGCCACCGCCUUGCUGACUCUCACUGUAGCCUUACCUCGUCUUAUCUCUUUAAUGGUGCGCGCGCCCCGAGGAGGGAAGCAAGCCGGCUAUAGGAAGCCGGCCAUGCCUCAGGCCGGCUAGGGGAGGCCAGGCCGCCUUCAGGUGUCUCUUUGACCGAAGGGGCCCGCCGCCUACGGGCCGUACUGGCAGCCCGUCGUGGAUGGCCUCAUGAUCAGCAUGGCAACAAUACCACGCCGGACGGGUGAUGGCUGUCUCGUACGGCGUACUGUAGCCAUGCGUGCUCCGGGAUUCGGGGGUGACACGGUCCACUGUUGCCACGCCCCGUCCCAUCAUCGUUAUGGGGGGUGCAGAUUUUUAGGGCACGACCCCUGGCCGCCUGCCUGGGGCCGGCCUCUUGGAGUCGGUUCUCUUGGGCCGGCUUCUUGGAGUCGGCCCUAUCGUGGCGUCCCCCAAGAGAGUUUAGGGUCGGGCCGCCUUCCGGUAGUCAGCCUGUGAGAUAGCCGGCCGGAGGAAGGCGGCCCCGCAUCUUGGGUGUUUCAAGGCUCGGUCAGCCUGUUGUUUUUUCUAAGGGCCAAAGGGAGCCGGUUAGGCUACCCGUGGUCAUUUACUCCGACAAUCAGAGAUUUAAUUCUACCAUCCAUGUGGACUUGAACACGCUAAGGAUCUUUAGAGCCUAUGCCCGCAAACAGUCCAAGAGUUCUCUUAAUGUCAUGCUCAUGGUCAUUCCACAAUAUAUGCAUCUAGAAUAGCAAAUACAUAUCAUUAGACAUAUUUUCAUAUCGUAUAAAUUUGACAUUGUAGAUAUAAUAAGUUUUCUCUAGAAACUUAGUCAAAAUUUGUAAAGUUUGACUUUUGAAAAUAUUUAUAUGCACUAUGUUAUGGAAAGUUGUUUUUGUGACGACGCCGAGUUGUUUCUAUGUAUUUUCUCGAGCACAGUAUGUUCACAUUUUUGUCUCAUGAAACCAUUUCUUCAUGUGAAAGAAAAUGUGGCACAGACAGUGUUGUUGUAGCAAACAGUAAACACGUUUGUUUCCUCCAAAACGUGUCAGAAGUUCGCCAUCCGUUUCAUCGGGUCAUGCAUCCUCCCCGAAUUCAGACGGAGCUACUCUACGAUGGAAUUGUUGGGCAAUACCCCGUCGGACGGGAUAAUCCCGUCGUCCGUUGCGCCGUAGAGAAAAAGGCUGGGGGUCGGGAGGAAGGAAGCUUCCGCCUGACAGCGGGACCGUGGAACAGUCACCAGGUGCCGAGCAGCUGAAGUGCGCCAACAGGGGACGGACGGACGCGACGCGGCCCGCACACGCUACGCCACAGCCGAAACCGCGCGGCCGAAAGAGAGGAAAACCCCAAGGAAUUGCCGACGAGACGCCGCCGUGCGCGUGUUCUUCCCGCCCAAGCCAAGCAACCCGUUCCCCGCACGUUUUCCCCCCGCCCUACGGCCAGCCUAGCUAGGCUUUGCCACGGGAAAUUCUGACACCACUGCGCACACCUCUCCACCACGCCACGCCACCCUUUGGUGCCUUCCUUCGCCGGUAUAUAAACCAGCACGCGACCCCGACGCCGAGCAUAAGCAACGUAACACCAGCACUUUCACCACUUUGCGUCGAGCUUCCCGCGCGCGCCCACGCUCUUGAUCAUUGCCGCCGUGGCCUGCUCGGGGCGUACGUGCGUGCCAUCCGUCGUAUUCUAUUUUCACAGCAAUGCGCAUGGCUCCGGCGGCGGCAGGAAGAGCCCACGGCGCUUGGAGCAGCGCACCGCGCGUGCUCUCCGACCGGCGCGGCCUCCGGUCGUCAUCUCGCGACGUCGCCGCCAUGGCGACGGUUCGGUUCGGCGCUCGUCGCGCCGGCGCGAGCAGAGUGGUCCUCUGCCUCGCGUCGGGGGGUGGUCACCCGCGGGACAGCGGCGAGUGGGAGCCCGCGGGCUCGCCGUGGGACGGCCGGAUGGUGGACGAGGGCAUGGCCACGCUGCGGCGGCGCAUCCGCGAGGUGGAGCACGGCGAGGACGACGAAGAGGAAGAGCCAGAGGAGCAGGAGGAGGAGGAGGGCGGCGUCGACGUCUUCGUGCCCCCGGGCGAGUGGACGGAGCUGGAGCGGCGGCACCACGGGCUGUACGUCGCGGGCGUGCGCGAGGCGCUCGGCAUCCUGUUCGCGCUGCUGGUGCGCGCGCGGCCGGGGCUCGGCGCGGGGGUCGUGGCGCUGGUGCUGCUCAGCGUGCCGGCCUCGGUGCUCCUCGUGUCCGCCGAGCUCGUCCGGGCUGUCCACUCCAUCUCGGCCGCCGUGCUCAGCGGCAGAAUGUAGGAUUGUACCUUGUACGUACGUACUAGAUGGCUCUGUACGUAUUUUCCCGCAAAAAAAAAAAAAAACAGAGGCUCUGUACGUAUUUUCUGCCUUGUGCACGUGAUGGUUUUCGUUCUUCCCAGGGAAGAAUCAAAUGAUGUAGUAGUAGGUUUUCUUGUCUCGACUCAUCAAGAGCAUGAUGACCAUGAGCAUGACAUUAAGAGAACUCUUGGACUGUUUGCGGGCAUAGGCUCUGAAGAUCAUAAUAUUGUUUAGCGUGUUCAGGUCCAUACGGAUGGUAGAACUAAAUCUCUGAUAUGGAUGUAACUUUUAUUAUUUCUAGUGUUCGUUGCACUAUAAUGAUUGAAAAUAAAUAGAUU